GCUGGGCGUGGUGGUGCACACCUGUAAUUCCAGCAGCUCAGGAGGCUGAGGCAGGAUUGUGAGUUCAAAGCCAGCCUCAGCAACUUAGUGAGGCACUUAGCAACUCAGGGAGACCCUGUCUCUC
rnacentral:sRNA from 1 species